rnacentral:tRNA from 1 species
GGCGCGUAGCUCAGUGGUAGAGCACUACGUUGACAUCGUAGGGGUCACAAGUUCGAACC